GAUGAACGCUGGCGGCGUGCCUAAUACAUGCAAGUCGAGCGAACAGACGAGGAGCUUGCUCCUCUGACGUUAGCGGCGGACGGGUGAGUAACACGUGGAUAACCUAUCUAUAAGACUGGGAUAACUUCGGGAAACCGGAGCUAAUACCGGAUAAUAUGUUGAAUCGCAUGGUUCAACAGUGAAAGACGGUCUUGCUGUCACUUAUAGAUGGAUCCGCGCCGCAUUAGCUAGUUGGUAAGGUAACGGCUUACCAAGGCAACGAUGCGUAGCCGACCUGAGAGGGUGAUCGGCCACACUGGAACUGAGACACGGUCCAGACUCCUACGGGAGGCAGCAGUAGGGAAUCUUCCGCAAUGGGCGAAAGCCUGACGGAGCAACGCCGCGUGAGUGAAGAAGGUCUUCGGAUCGUAAAACUCUGUUAUUAGGGAAGAACAAAUGUGUAAGUAACUAUGCACGUCUUGACGGUACCUAAUCAGAAAGCCACGGCUAACUACGUG
rnacentral:rRNA from 1 species